rnacentral:rRNA from 1 species
CUCGCAAGAGCAAAGCAGGGGACCUUCGGGCCUUGCGCUACCGGAUAUGCCCAGGUGGGUUAGCUAGUUGGUGAGGUAAGGGCUCACCAAGGCGACGAUCCCUAGCUGGUCUGAGAGGAUGAUCAGCCACACUGGAACUGAGACACGGUCCGGACUCCUACGGGAGGCAGCAGUGGGGAAUAUUGCACAAUGGGCGCAAGCCUGAUGCAGCCAUGCCGCGUGUAUGAAGAAGGCCUUCGGGUU